rnacentral:rRNA from 1 species
GACGAACGCUGGCGGCGUGCUUAACACAUGCAAGUCGAACGGAAAGGCCCUGCUUUUGUGGGGUGCUCGAGUGGCGAACGGGUGAGUAACACGUGAGUAACCUGCCCUUGACUUUGGGAUAACUUCAGGAAACUGGGGCUAAUACCGGAUAGGAGCUCCUGCUGCAUGGUGGGGGUUGGAAAGUUUCGGCGGUUGGGGAUGGACUCGCGGCUUAUCAGCUUGUUGGUGGGGUAGUGGCUUACCAAGGCUUUGACGGGUAGCCGGCCUGAGAGGGUGACCGGCCACAUUGGGACUGAGGUACGGCCCAGGCUCCUACGGGAGGCAGCAGUGGGGAAUAUUGCACAAUGGGCGGAAGCCUGAUGCAGCAACGCCGCGUGCGGGAUGACGGCCUUCGGGUUGUAAACCGCUUUCGCCUGUGACGAAGCGUGAGUGACGGUAAUGGGUAAAGAAGCACCGGCUAACUACGUG